GACGAACGCUGGCGGCGUGCUUAACACAUGCAAGUCGAACGAUGAGGCUCGGCGCUUGCUCUGGUCGCGUGAGUGGCGGACGGGUGAGUAACAAGUGAGUAACCUGCCUUUGACUCUGGGAUAAGCUUGGGAAACUGGGUCUAAUACUGGAUACGAUAUUUCACCGCAUGGUUGUGUAGGGAAAGGCGUUUUUUGGUUCUGGAUUGGCUGGCGGCCUAGCAGCUUGUUUGGUGGGUAAUGGCUCGCCAUGGCGACGACGGGUAGCCGGCCUGAGAGGGGGGCCGGCCACACGGGGACUGAGAGACGGACCAGAAUCCUACGGGAGGCAGCAGUGGGGAAUAUUGCACAAUGGGCGGAAGCCUGAUGCAGCGACGCCGCGUGAGGGAUGACGGCCUUCGGGUUGUAAACCGCUUUCAACACGGAAGAAGCGAAAGUGACGGUACGUGCUAAAGAAGCGCCGGCUAACUACGUG
rnacentral:rRNA from 1 species